GAUGAACGCUGGCGGCGUGCCUAAUACAUGCAAGUCGAGCGAACAGAUAAGGAGCUUGCUCCUUUGACGUUAGCGGCGGACGGGUGAGUAACACGUGGAUAACCUACCUAUAAGACUGGGAUAACUUCGGGAAACCAGAGCUAAUACCGGAUAACAUAUUGAACCGCAUGGUUCAAUAGUGAAAGGCGGCUUUGCUGUCACUUAUAGAUGGAUCCGCGCCGUAUUAGCUAGUUGGUAAGGUAACGGCUUACCAAGGCAACGAUACGUAGCCGACCUGAGAGGGUGAUCGGCCACACUGGAACUGAGACACGGUCCAGACUCCUACGGGAGGCAGCAGUAGGGAAUCUUCCGCAAUGGGCGAAAGCCUGACGGAGCAACGCCGCGUGAGUGAUGAAGGUCUUCGGAUCGUAAAACUCUGUUAUCAGGGAAGAACAAAUGUGUAAGUAACUGUGCACAUCUUGACGGUACCUGAUCAGAAAGCCACGGCUAACUACGUG
rnacentral:rRNA from 1 species